AAGGUCGUCCUUCUACCAUUAUUCGCUUUUGCCUUUAGCCUAAUUCGUAUUUUCUCGUCAUCAAUAGUGGAGAAGAAAAUUCUAGAAGUUGCAACAAUUAUUUUGGAUGAAAAUCUAGCUGGGUUCGUCUUUCUUUAGCUCCAUAUAAGGUAUGUUCUCGUUUCUGUACAUGCAUGAAAAUAUAUCUACGUUUACAUAUCAUGGUUCAUGAGGUUGAAGGUCAUGAAUUUUCGUCGUUUCGAAGCUGGUGAGGAAUCAACUAUCAUCAUUCAUAGCCAACUUCAACAAUUUCAAAUCACUAUUUCACUCCAUUUUUCAUUCACUGUAGAAGAAAAUGAAAUUGCACUGGACG